AUACGGAGGAUGCGAGCGUUAUCCGGAUUUAUUGGGUUUAAAGGGUGCGUAGGCUGUGCGUUAAGUCAGGGGUGAAAUGCCGUCGCUCAUCGACGGAGCUGCCCUUGAUACUGGCGUGCUGGAGUACGGAUGCCGUUGGAGGAAUGAGUGGUGUAGCGGUGAAAUGCUUAGAUAUCACUCAGAACACCGAUUGCGAAGGCAUCUGACGAAUCCGUCACUGACGCUGAGGCACGAAAGCGUGGGGAUAGAACAGGAUUAGAUACCCUGGUAUUCCACGCCGUAAACGAUGAUGGCUAACCGUCGGCGAUAGACAGCCGGUGGCCAAGCGAAAGCGAUAAGUCAUCCACCUGGGGAGUACGUCGGCAACGAUGAAACUCAAAUGAAUUGACGGGG
rnacentral:rRNA from 1 species